AGCGAACGCUGGCGGCAGGCCUAACACAUGCAAGUCGAACGAAGUCUUCGGACUUAGUGGCGGACGGGUGAGUAACACGUGGGAACGUGCCUUUAGGUUCGGAAUAACUCAGGGAAACUUGUGCUAAUACCGAAUGUGCCCUUCGGGGGAAAGAUUUAUCGCCUUUAGAGCGGCCCGCGUCUGAUUAGCUAGUUGGUUAGGUAAAGGCUCACCAAGGCUACGAUCAGUAGCUGGUUUGAGAGGAUGACCAGCCACAUUGGGACUAGGACACGGACCAAACUCCGUCGGGAGGAAUGAUUGGGGAAGCUGGCGCAAUUGGCUAAGGCCUGACGCAGCCAUGCCGCGUGUAUGAUGAAGGUCUUAGGAUUGUAAAAUCCUUUCACCGGUGAAGAUAAUGACUGUAGCCGGAGAAGAAGCCCCGACUAACUUCGUGCCAGCCGCCGCCGUAACAC
rnacentral:rRNA from 1 species